rnacentral:rRNA from 1 species
UCCUACGGGAGGCAGCAGUGGGGAAUAUUGCACAAUGGGGGAAACCCUGAUGCAGCAACGCCGCGUGAGUGAUGAAGGUUUUCGGAUCGUAAAGCUCUGUCUUUGGGGAAGAUAAUGACGGUACCCAAGGAGGAAGCCACGGCUAACUACGUGCCAGCAGCCGCGGUAAUACGUAGGUGGCGAGCGUUAUCCGGAUUUACUGGGCGUAAAGGGAGCGUAGGCGGAUGAUUAAGUGGGAUGUGAAAUACCCGAGCUCAACUUGGGUGCUGCAUUCCAAACUGGUUAUCUAGAGUGCAGGAGAGGAGAGUGGAAUUCCUAGUGUAGCGGUGAAAUGCGUAGAUAUUAGGAGGAACACCAGUGGCGAAGGCGGCUUUCUGGACUGCAACUGACACUGAGGCACGAAAGCGUGGGUAGCAAACAGGAUUAGAUACCCUGGUAGUCC